AACGAACGCUGGCGGCAUGCCUAACACAUGCAAGUCGAACGAUGACUCCGGGCUUAGUGGCGCACGGGUUCGUAACGCGUGGGAAUAUGCCCUUGGCUUCGGCAUAACAGUUAGAAAUGACUGCUAAUACCGGAUGAUGUUACCCUGAGAGAUCUUGGGGUCCAGAGAUUUAUCGGACAGGGAUGAGGCCGCGUAGGAUGAUGGAGUCGGUGGGGUAAAGGCCUACCUAGCCGACGAUCCUUAGCUGGUCUGAGAGGCUGAUCAGCCACACUGGGACUGAGACACGACCCAGACUCCUACGGGAGGCAGCAGUGGGGAAUAUUGGACAAUGGGGGGAACCCUGAUACAGCAAGGGCGCGUGAGAGAUGAAGGCCUUAGAGUUGUAAAUCUCUUUUACCAGAGAUGAUAAUGACAGUACCUGGAGAAGAAGCUCCGGCUAACUCCGUG
rnacentral:rRNA from 1 species